AUUGAACGCUGGCGGCAUGCCUUACACAUGCAAGUCGAACGGCAGCGCGGGGCAACCUGGCGGCGAGUGGCGAACGGGUGAGUAAUAUAUCGGAACGUACCCUGGAGUGGGGGAUAACGUAGCGAAAGUUACGCUAAUACCGCAUACGACCUAAGGAUGAAAGCAGGGGACCGCAAGGCCUUGUGCUCCUGGAGCGGCCGAUAUCUGAUUAGCUAGUUGGUAGGGUAAAAGCCUACCAAGGCAUCGAUCAGUAGCUGGUCUGAGAGGACGACCAGCCACACUGGAACUGAGACACGGGUCCAGACUCCUACGGGAGGCAGCAGUGGGGAAUUUUUGGGACAAUGGGCGCAAGCCUGAUCCAGCAAUGCCGCGUGAGUGAAGAAGGCCUCCGGGUUGUAAAGCUCUUUUGUCAGGGAAGAAACGGUGAGCUCUAAUACAGCUUGCUAAUGACGGUACCUGAAAGAAUAAGCACCGGGCUAAAC
rnacentral:rRNA from 1 species